UACGUAGGGUGCAAGCGUUAAUCGGAAUUACUGGGCGUAAAGGGCGCGUAGGCGGCCAGCGCAAGUCAGUUGUGAAAUCUCCGGGCUUAACUCGGAAAGGUCAACUGAUACUGCGCGGCUAGAGUGCGGAAGGGGCAACUGGAAUUCUCGGUGUAGCGGUGAAAUGCGUAGAUAUCGAGAGGAACACCUGCGGCGAAGGCGGGUUGCUGGGCCGACACUGACGCUGAGGCGCGAAAGCUAGGGGAGCGAACGGG
rnacentral:rRNA from 1 species